rnacentral:lncRNA from 1 species
UCAUAGAGUCUCAGACAUGUAGGACUCAUAGUCUACGAGCAUUAGGACUCUUCAUCAGCCAUCAGAUCAGAUAGGAACCUCUAAUGUGUGUGACCCCGCAGGUUCGAACCUAAACUGGUAGCACAGGAACCAAUUCCUGUACUAAUCAAAGUGACCAUCUAGCAAUGGUACCCGAUGUUCGGAUAGGUUGAAUAGUCACAAUCACAACACUCAGAACC